rnacentral:rRNA from 1 species
AGUGAAGCGGCAAUAGCUCAAAUUUGAAAGCUGGCCCCUUUGGGGUCCGCGUUGUAAUUUGUAGAGGAUGAUUCGGCGAGGGCUCCCGUCUAAGUCCCCUGGAACGGGGCGUCAUAGAGGGUGAGAAUCCCGUAUGUGAUGGGUUGCCUUAGCCAUGUGAAUCUCCUUCGACGAGUCGAGUUGUUUGGGAAUGCAGCUCUAAAUGGGAGGUAAAUUUCUUCUAAAGCUAAAUACCGGCCAGAGACCGAUAGCGCACAAGUAGAGUGAUCGAAAGAUGAAAAGCACUUUGGAAAGAGAGUUAAAAAGUACGUGAAAUUGUUGAAAGGGAAGCGCUUGCAGCCAGACUUGUCCGCAGUUGCUCAGCCGGUCUCCUGACCGGCGUACUCUUCUGCGGCCAGGCCAGCAUCAGUUCGGGCGGUCGGAUAAAGGCCCCAGGAAUGUAGCUCCUCUCGGGGAGUGUUAUAGCCUGGGGUGGAAUGCGACCAGCCUGGACUGAGGAUCUCGCUUCGGCUAGGAUGCUGGCGUAAUGGCUGUAAGCGGCCCGUCUUGAAACACGGACCAAGGAGUCUAACAUCUAUGCGAGUGUUUGGGUGUCAAA